GGACGGGUGAGUAAUGCAUAGGAAUCUGCCCGGUAGUGGGGGAUAACCUGGGGAAACCCAGGCUAAUACCGCAUACGUCCUACGGGAGAAAGCAGGGGAUCUUCGGACCUUGCGCUAUCGGAUGAGCCUAUGUCGGAUUAGCUUGUUGGUGAGGUAAUGGCUCACCAAGGCGACGAUCCGUAGCUGGUCUGAGAGGAUGAUCAGCCACAUCGGGACUGAGACACGGCCCGAACUCCUACGGGAGGCAGCAGUGGGGAAUAUUGGACAAUGGGCGAAAGCCUGAUCCAGCCAUGCCGCGUGUGUGAAGAAGGCUUUCGGGUUGUAAAGCACUUUCAGUGAGGAAGAAGGCCUUGGGGCUAAUACCCCCGAGGAAGGACAUCACUCACAGAAGAAGCACCGGCUAACUCCGUGCCAGCAGCCGCGGUAAUACGGAGGGUGCGAGCGUUAAUCGGAAUUACUGGGCGUAAAGCGCGCGUAGGCGGCGUGAUAAGCCGGUUGUGAAAGCCCCGGGCUCAACCUGGGAACGGCAUCCGGAACUGUCAGGCUAGAGUGCAGGAGAGGAAGGUAGAAUUCCCGGUGUAGCGGUGAAAUGCGUAGAGAUCGGGAGGAAUACCAGUGGCGAAGGCGGCCUUCUGGACUGACACUGACGCUGAGGUGCGAAAGCGUGGGUAGCAAACAGGAUUAGAUACCCUGGUAGUCCACGCCGUAAACGAUGUCGACUAGCCGUUGGGGUCCUUGAGACCUUUGUGGCGCAGUUAACGCGAUAAGUCGACCGCCUGGGGAGUACGGCCGCAAGGUUAAAACUCAAAUGAAUUGACGGGGGCCCGCACAAGCGGUGGAGCAUGUGGUUUAAUUCGAUGCAACGCGAAGAACCUUACCUACCCUUGACAUCGUGCGAACUUUCCAGAGAUGGAUUGGUGCCUUCGGGAACGCACAGACAGGUGCUGCAUGGCUGUCGUCAGCUCGUGUUGUGAAAUGUUGGGUUAAGUCCCGUAACGAGCGCAACCCUUGUCCCUAUUUGCCAGCGAUUCGGUCGGGAACUCUAGGGAGACUGCCGGUGACAAACCGGAGGAAGGUGGGGACGACGUCAAGUCAUCAUGGCCCUUACGGGUAGGGCUACACACGUGCUACAAUGGCCGGUACAAAGGGUUGCGAAGCCGCGAGGUGGAGCUAAUCCCGAAAAGCCGGUCUCAGUCCGGAUCGGAGUCUGCAACUCGACUCCGUGAAGUCGGAAUCGCUAGUAAUCGUGAAUCAGAAUGUCACGGUGAAUACGUUCCCGGGCCUUGUACACACCGCCCGUCACACC
rnacentral:rRNA from 1 species